CUUAUCAAGAGUGGUGGAGGAAUCAGGUCCUGUGAAGCCCGGCAACCUGUGUGCUGUAUUAUGCAGUUCGUCAAGGUGCCAAAUCCUGCGGUUAUUUCCGAAAGAUGAGG
rnacentral:ncRNA from 1 species